CAGCAGCCGCGGUAACACGUAGGUGGCAAGCGUUGUCCGGAAUUAUUGGGCGUAAAGGGCUCGCAGGCGGUUUCUUAAGUCUGAUGUGAAAGCCCCCGGCUCAACCGGGGAGGGUCAUUGGAAACUGGGAAACUUGAGUGCAGAAGAGGAGAGUGGAAUUCCACGUGUAGCGGUGAAAUGCGUAGAGAUGUGGAGGAACACCAGUGGCGAAGGCGACUCUCUGGUCUGUAACUGACGCUGAGGAGCGAAAGCGUGGGGAGCGAACAGGAUUAGAGACCCGUGUAGUCCCUGUCUCUUAUAC
rnacentral:rRNA from 1 species